UACGGAGGGUGCAAGCGUUAAUCGGAAUUACUGGGCGUAAAGCGCGCGUAGGUGGUUUUGCAAGUGUGAUGUGAAAGCCCAGGGCUCAACCUUGGAACUGCAUCACAAACUGUGAGACUGGAGUGCAGUAGAGGGAGGUAGAAUUUCAGGUGUAGCGGUGAAAUGCGUAGAGAUCUGAAGGAAUACCGGUGGCGAAGGCGGCCUCCUGGACUGACACUGACGCUGAGGUGCGAAAGCGUGGGUAGCGAACAGG
rnacentral:rRNA from 1 species